rnacentral:rRNA from 1 species
ACGAACGCUGGCGGCAGGCUUAACACAUGCAAGUCGAGCGCCCCGCAAGGGGAGCGGCAGACGGGUGAGUAACGCGUGGGAAUCUACCCAUCUCUACGGAAUAACGCAUGGAAACGUGUGCUAAUACCGUAUACGUCCUUCGGGAGAAAGAUUUAUCGGAGAUGGAUGAGCCCGCGUUGGAUUAGCUAGUUGGUGGGGUAAAGGCCUACCAAGGCGACGAUCCAUAGCUGGUCUGAGAGGAUGAUCAGCCACACUGGGACUGAGACACGGCCCAGACUCCUACGGGAGGCAGCAGUGGGGAAUAUUGGACAAUGGGCGCAAGCCUGAUCCAGCCAUGCCGCGUGAGUGAUGAAGGCCCUAGGGUUGUAAAGCUCUUUCACCGGUGAAGAUAAUGACGGUAACCGGAGAAGAAGCCCCGGCUAACUUCGUGCCAGCAGCCGCGGUAAUACGAAGGGGGCUAGCGUUGUUCGGAUUUACUGGGCGUAAAGCGCACGUAGGCGGACUAUUAAGUCAGGGGUGAAAUCCCGGGGCUCAACCCCGGAACUGCCUUUGAUACUGGUAGUCUUGAGUUCGAGAGAGGUGAGUGGAAUUCCGAGUGUAGAGGUGAAAUUCGUAGAUAUUCGGAGGAACACCAGUGGCGAAGGCGGCUCACUGGCUCAGAUACUGACGCUGA